rnacentral:rRNA from 1 species
GACGAACGCUGGCGGCGUGCUUAACACAUGCAAGUCGAACGGUGAACCUCUUCUGUGGUGAUCAGUUGCGAACGGGUGCGUAACACGUGGGCAACCUGCCCCCGCCUCUGGCUUAACUCCAACUUAUUGGGGCUAAUACUGGUUGUUCACCGCUUCUCCCGCGGCUUGUGGUGGAAUGGGUUUGCGGCUGGGGAUGGGCUCGCGGCCUAUCAGCUUGUUGGUGGGGUAGUGGCCUACCAAGGCGACGACGGGUAGCCGGCCUGAGAGGGUGACCGGCCACACUGGGACUGAGACACGGCCCAGACUCCUACGGGAGGCAGCAGUGGGGAAUAUUGCGCAAUGGGCGGAAGCCUGACGCAGCGACGCCGCGUGGGGGAUGACGGCCUUCGGGUUGUAAACCGCUUUCGGCAGGGACGAAGCGUAAGUGACGGUAACGGGAGAAGAAGCACCGGCUAACUACGUG